rnacentral:rRNA from 1 species
GACGAACGCUGGCGGCGUGCUUAACACAUGCAAGUCGAACGGAAAGGCCCUGCUUUUGUGGGGUGCUCGAGUGGCGAACGGGUGAGUAACACGUGAGUAACCUGCCCUUGACUUUGGGAUAACUUCAGGAAACUGGGGCUAAUACCGGAUAGGAGCUCCUGCUGCAUGGUGGGGGUUGGAAAGUUUCGGCGGUUGGGGAUGGACUCGCGGCUGAUCAGCUUGUUGGUGGGGUAGUGGCUUACCAAGGCUUUGACGGGUAGCCGGCCUGAGAGGGUGACCGGCCACAUUGGGACUGAGAUACGGCCCAGACUCCUACGGGAGGCAGCGGUGGGGAGUAUUGCACAAUGGUCGGAAGCCUGAUGCAGCAACGCCGCGGGCGGGAUGACGGCCUUCGGGUUGUGAACCGCUUUCGCCUGUGACGAAGCGUGAGUGACGGUAAUGGGUAAAGAAGCACCGGCUAACUACGUG